UCAGCAAAGACUCAAAUAUAUAUCAUGGAUAAUCUGAUCACAAGUCCACAAUUCAUCGGAUCUCGACACACACACUGCCAAAGAAGAUUACAUCGGAUAGAUCUCCAUGAAGAUCAUGGAGAACUUUUUAUUGAAGAUCCAAGAGAGAGAAGAACCCAUCUAGCUACUAACUACGGACCCGUUGGUCUGAAGUGAACUACUCGCGAGUCAUUGGAGGGGCGAUGAUGAUGAUGAAGAAGCCCUCCACCUCCAAAGUCCCCU
rnacentral:lncRNA from 1 species